GUUGAAUGGUGUCACCACUAGGGGGCCCGCUGGUCAGCUCUAUCCCUGACCUCGGGGGCUGGCUUUGGACAAAAAACACAGAAUCCCACCCCAAAUAUCUUCUCUGUAUUGUUCUCCUCAUCUCGACCAUCCCUAUCCGAGAUUGUUGUAACUGGCCCUCGAUCGCCCAGAAACCACGCUGGCCGUUCUUGGACUUGGCCCGGAAUCUGGGCGCCCCUAGGGAUGUAUAUUUGAGGCCACGGCCUCCCUCCACUCAUCCGUCUGUGCCAAAGCCGAGUGCAUCAUGUGAGCAGAGAGGAGAAGAAAGAGAGAACAACGCUGCUACCGUCGAUCUCGUCCCGCACUAUCUCUCGAGGAACAGCUGAAUCACUCGACAGAGUUCCUCGAGCGCCGCUCGUAGGCUCCUUGCAGCGUAUUCUCUGAGUAGCAGCGAGGUUAACGAGUCACUUGAAGACCAAGUUGGUGAAAUACCUAGGAAUCUUGAGUCUAAGGCAAGUUGUGCCCUUGAUCACUUUUCUCUUUACCCAAUAAUGUUCCAAUUAAUCACUAUGACAUGCUCAGGUUAAUUUUAUGGGACCUAAUAGGUUCCCUAGAUUUGUUUAUCCCACACCUUGUUUACCACUGAACUUUUGGGUAGUUUUGCUAUUGCUCUACCUGGUUUUGGGAUUAAUGUUACAUUAUGAUCAUGUUCCAGUUAUGCUGUUGUUUUAAUUAUUGUUCAUGACAAGAUCAUUGUGUUGAUUGGAACAUCCGAACAUGGAGCUUAACUUGAGAUAUCCAUGAUACCACAAGGGUGGAAUGGGACGCCCUUGGUCGACUAAUUAGGAAAGCUAGUGGAGCACUACCUUAACCAAAAGGGGCAAGGGCGAUAGAGGAGCUGUGUAUAGGGAGGUUCUCGGGUCGAUCAUGCUGCGAUGGCUUUUCGGACGAGGGAUUCCUAUAUUGCCCUUCUUAGAAACCGUAGCGGGUUUUCUAAAGCUAGUGGAACUUUGUAAAGGCCUCAUAGUGGAUCCCUAGCCAUUCACCUCGGAAGUGUCUAAGAGCCUUGAAACCCUGGCUAGACGGGAUACACGACUUGUGGGUAAAGGGCGCAACCUCUGCAGAGUGUAAAACUGGUAUAUCAGCCAUGCUCACGGUCAAGAGCGACUCAGGACUCUCGCAUGAUUAACUUAUGGAACUAAACUUAAUCUGUUAGAUGCAUUGCGUCGUGGGUGUUAUUAUCAAUUGUGAUCUUUUAUUUAAUUGGGUUGGUAUCUACUUAUGCAUAGUAAAUGCUAAUAAAAUUCUGACCAACUCUAAAAGCAAUGCUUAGCUUUAACCAUCUCCUUUGGUAAGCCUUACACUUCACAUGAGAUCCCACCUUCGAUGAGUUCAUGCACAUUAUUCCCCACAACUUGUUGAGCGAUGAACGUAUGUGAGCUCACCCUUGCUGUACUCAGAUCCCCCCAGGUCAAGAAUAGGUACCGUAGGAUGAGGCGCAUGAAGGAUGCUGUGAUGAGUUCAUGAGUGGUCUAGGCCAUCGUCUCCCAGUCAACUUUGGUUGCUGGAUCGUUGUCUUCGUAUGAUGUAAUUACUUAACUAUUUUGUAUAGAACUCCAUUAUAUAUAAAUGAUGUUACAUUCAUUUCUGUACCAUGAGUUAUCAUAUGUGUGAGACUUGAUCCUAGCACACAUGUGAAUCGCGCCCAGGUUUGGCCCCCUAAAUCCGGGUGUGACAAUAUUGAUGAGUCUAGGAAGGGCUAGCAAAGCAGCAUCAUAACCAUAUAACACCCUGAAUGGUGUACAACCCAAAACAACAUGAUAAGUGGUAUUGUACCAAUACUCCGCGAGAGCCAACCAACUCUUCCAUUUGAUGGGCUGAGAAUUGACAGCACAUCGGAGAUACAUCUCCAAACAUUGGUUCACAUGCUCACUUUGGCCAUCAGUCUGUGGGUGAUAUGAUGUAGACAUCAACAGCUUGACCUCUAUCAACUAAAACAUGAGCUUCCAAAAACUGCUAGUAAACACUUUAUCCCUAUCAGAUACUAGCGAUUUGGGCACUCCAUGUAGCUUAACCACAUUGUCCAGAAAGACUUGUGCAACACCCUUCACAGUAAAAGGAUGUUUCAAAGGACAGAAAUGACUAUAUUUCGAAAAUCAAUCAACCACAACUAAAAUUGUAUCAAACCUUUCCGACUUAGGCAAACCUUCAAUGAAAUCCAUAGUCACAUCUUCCCACACACCCUGUGGUAUAGGCAAAGGUUGUAAUAACCUAGUUGGAUGAGUUCUUUCACUCUUGGCCUUUGACAAAUUGCACACUAUUGGACAAACUGGACCACAUCUGCCUUUAAUCCCUUCCAAUAAAACACUUUCUUUACCCGUUGAUAUGUGGCCUGUGUACCAGAAUGACCACCAAUGGCAUUGUCAUGCAACGCUGCCACCAACUUAGUUCUCAGAGCAGAAUUAGCACCAAUCCAAAUCCUUCCUGCCUUGCGAAUAAUGCCUUGAUACAAUGAAAACCAAUUCUCAUCAGGACUGCGCACCAACAAUGGAGCUAUCAACUAUUGAGCUUCAGCAUCAGUAGCAUAAGAAUUCAGCACCUCCUGUACCUAAACUGGUUGCACUUCAGAAAUGGCAGCUAAGUCCAAAACUGAACUCCUCCUUGACAAUGCAUCAACCACUACAUUCUAUGCCCCCUUUUUAUAUACAAUAUGAUAUUGCAACCCCAUUAACUUGGUCGUAGCCUUCUUUUGAAGAUCUGACUGUAACUGCUGAUCUCCCAAGAAGGUCAAAGAUUUGUGAUCUAUCUUAAUCACAAAUGCACCCCUCUGCAAAUACUGCCUCCACUUAUCUACAGCCAUAAUCAAGGCCAAAAACUCCUUCUCAAAUAUCGAAAUAUGUUUGUUCUUUUCUCCCAGAGCUUUACUCAGAAAGGCAAUGGGUCUGCCCUGCAGCAUCAACACAGCUCUAAGACCCACAUCUGAUGCAUCUGUCUCGACUGUGAAAGGAAGAUCAAACUUGGGUAGGGCAAGAACCGGUGUUGAAGCCAUAUCCUGUUUCAACUCCUGAAAAGCAACCUGAGCGUCUUCAGACCACUGAAACACUUGUUGUUUUUGCAACAACCUAGUAAGAGGUCUAGCCAUAAUACCAUAAUCUUUCACAAAUUUCCUGUAAUAGCCUGUUAAACCUAAGAAUCCCCUCAACUCUAUCACAUUCAUAGGUUGUUUCCAGGACAACAUAGCUUCAGUUUUACUAGAGUCUGUGGCCACCCCAUCUCUUGAAAUCACAUGCCCCAAAUAUUUGAGUUCAUGCUUCACAAAAGUGCAUUUCUUCAUCUUAAAGAAAAACUAGUGCUCUCUCAGCUUGGCCAACACCAUCCUGAUAUGCUGAUAAUGCACUUCCAAACUAGGGAUGUAGAUGAGAAUAUCAUCCAAGAAAACCAUAACAAAUUUUCUAAGAAAAGUCUCCAACACUGAGUUCAUGGCACACUGGAAGCUAGCUGGUGCAUUAGUGAGAUCAAAAGGCAUCACUCAAAACUUAUAAUGGCCAUGAUGUGUUUUAAAAGCAGUCAUGUAUUCAUCCUCAGGUCCCAUCCGAAUUUGGUGAUAUCCUGCUGUCAUGUCAAGACUAGUGAAAUACUGGGCACCAACUAAUUCAUCUAGUAUCUCAUCCACCAUAAGCAUAGGAAAUAUGUUCUUUAUAGUCAUUCCAUUUAACUUCUAGUAAUCUAUACAGAACCUCCAGCUGCCAUCCUUUUUUUGCACAAGUAAAACUAGAGAAGAAAAAGAACUGACACUAGGGACUAUCAACCCUGCUGCUAGCAGUUCAGUAAUUUGCUUUUAAAUCUCAGUUUUGUGAGCUAGAGAAUAUCUAUAAGGCCUUGAGUUUACCGAAAUAGACCCUGGCAACAGAGGAAUGUGAUGGUCAUAAGGCCUGAUUAGAGGCAAUUUCGAAGGCACAACAAAAACAUCUUCUAAUUCCUUUAAAAUCUCCCGUAGAACUGCAUCAUUUUUCCCAACUAUUUCUUUUGUAACCUACUCCAGAAGCACAAAUACCUAGACUUCCUCUCCCUUCAUCCAUUUCUCCAGUUGCAACACAGAUACUUGUCGCACUUCCUACACCUCUCUAGCAUCACCCUGUAACCUUACCAUCUUUCAUUGAUCAGUAAAGGUUAACACCUUGUUAUUCCAGUCACACUCCAUAGGACUCUGAGCCUUCAACCAAUCAUACCCUAGGAUCACAUCAUAUGCUUCCAAAUCCAACAACCUCAUAGCAGUGUUGUACAGGUGCCCCCCAGAACUCCACACUAUCUCCUUAACUCUUUUAUCACUGAUCAUAGCUGUUUCAUUUGCCACAUUAACCCGCACAGUGGAGCAAUCUUCAGUGACCAACCCCAAUUUUGCUACAAUUCUCUGGAUGAUAAAGGUUGCAGAACUACCAGAAUCAAUGAGCAUGACCAACAUCUGAUUCUGAAUCAGAGCUUGGACCCUCAUACAUCCGUCACAUUAUGUGCCAAACUCCUCCACACACUUCUCCUCAUUCUCCAACUUCUGCAAUACUUCAUCAGUCAAAACUAGACCCAUGUCUUCCACGAUCAGAUUAUGUAGUUGAGUUACCACCCUCUUCGGACAUUUUGCUUGAUGGCCUGGCUCAAAUUUAUCUCCACAAAUAAAACACAACCCAUUCGCUCUUCUAUAUUCCCUCAACUACCUGAACUCAGGAUACAAUAUUCCUUCCCUAUUCUCUCCCCUUACUCCUGCAACCUGAGUUUUGAGAACCAGUCCCUUUUGAUUUCUAACUCUAUUCUUCUCUACAAUCUCCUGAUACACCUUGGCCAACCUCUUCGCCUUAUCCAUUGUCUUAGGCAUCUGAGCCAUGACUUGGUUCUGAAUUUCAGGUUACAACCCCUUAAUAUAGUGUGUCACAAAUAGGGUCUCAUCCAACUCAGAAUUGUGCAAAGUAGCGGCAUAUCUGAUAUCAUCAAAAGCUUGAGAGUAUUCCUCCACUCCUUGUUGUUGGGUCACAUUAACCAAAUCUCUCAUAGCUUGAGGGUAUUCGUCCACUCCGAACUUCUCCCUAACUACUUGUGUAAACUUCCCCCAAUCACUAAAUCCAUGUUUCAGCUUAUACACUUGUAACCACUUCGACGCAUUCCCCUCCAUGUGCAUAGAAGCUGAACUCGCCUACAACCACUCUGGCACCUGAUAAACGGUGAAGUAAUCAACACACCGAUUGUUUGCAUCCCUAUCAACAACUUGUGCAUAUUGAUAAUUUUGGAAAAGGAAAUAUAACUAACAAAAAUCAUAUUGAUAAGCUAAAAGCGCAAGGACAAGUAAACUCCGCAAUACAUAAUGGCAUGAAGUCAUGGAUUAGAAGGUCGCCAUAGUUGAGUUGCUCUAGCUAAACAUUUUUCUUCAAAAUUUACAGCCAGUAAGUAACAUCUAGCUAUUACUAAAUAGUAGUUAGAAUAAGAGUACAAUAGAUGUACUUGUACAAAAUUUUCCCUUCUAUAAAUUAAGAAAAAGCAGCACACUGCAAGUCAGUUCAGCAGCACCAAGAACUUGUGUGUUUUGUUCUCCCUUCCUCUCCCUAAUUGUGUGUGUCUAGAGUGAGGUAGUAGAUGCACAAGAAAAUAAAAAAAUGAAUUGACGAGAUGAACUGAACUAAAUUGGAUAUCUAUUUAAAAAACAAAAAAAAACAAAGCUGAACGGAGGGCACUAUGUUCAUGCUCUUUAUCGGCUAUCCACUUAUUAUUCCAACAGAUAGAAAUAGCUCAUUUGAUCUCUUCGGUUUCUCGCUCUAGACUACACGCCACCAACCAUGUCUCAUGUUUCUCGCUCCAGCUGAUUACCAAAUCGAGCAGCUAGCUACAGAUGCAAAACAAGUGGAGUGGCAGGAGAAGAACCUAUCAAGCAGGUGUAAGAUCUACCACCGGGUAAGUAACAAUUGAUAAAUCUACGGAGGGCGAGGCGGCGCGUGACACAGCAGUGCACCACAAAAUCCGGGCGGCUGCAGCAGUAUGUAGGGGUGAAAACGGACAGAUACGGAUGGAUAGUAGCUCAUCCUGUAUCCUACCCUAAUGUAUUUAAAACGGAUUCGGGAUCGGAUACGGAUAGUUAGAAACGGGACGGAUACGGAUACAGGGACCGGAUAUUUAUCCGAGCGGAUAAGUGACGGAUACAGAUAUUAUUUGAUCGGAUAUCGGAUACUUGUCGGAUAAUGCAUUAAUUGGUUAUCAUAAAAUAUUCUUGUUCGACCACGAAAUUGCAAGUAAAUUAAUACUAAUAAACAUUUAAUAGAAGAUAAUCUCAAGUUCCCACAUAAAAAUGGUAAAGUGAAGUAUUGAUUAUGUUGAAACUUGGAUACUUAGAGUGAUUUCAUGUGUAACUCACGCAAUAAGUGAAAAUAAAAUAGAAAAAACGUUGACAUCCUGUGGAUUUUAUGGUCCCAUUAUUUUUUAUGACUAUAUGUGGCCAUAUGUUGUACCUUCGUAUAAUUUCAUAGAUUUCUGAGGCUAUUUGUACAUUAUUAAUUUCUUUCUACAUAAAAUCAUCAAAAUAUAAUUAAAAUUCAUAAAUACACUAGUUUUAACCCAAAAUUGCAAAAAACUUACCAAAACAAAUAAAAAAUUUAUUCAAAUAAAACCUCAAGUCGCCACAUGAAAAUGAUAAGUGAAAUAUUAAUUAUGUUGAAACGUCGAUAUAUAAAAUGAUUUCACGUGUAACUCACGCAAUAAGUGGGAGUGGAAUGGAAGAAACACCAACAUCUUGUGAAUUUUAUAAUCCAAAUAUUUUUGAUAACUAUAUGUGGAUAUAUGUUGUGUCCCCGUAAAAAUUCAUGAAUUUUUUAGGCUAUUUGGUGUAUUAUUAAUUUCUUGUUGUAGAAAAUCAUCAAAAUAUAAUUAAAUUCAUAAAAAUUUUGUAGUGUCGACCAUAAAUUGCGAAUAAGUUACCAAUAUUAAUAAAUAGUUUAUAAAAAGAUAAUUCUAAGUUCCCACAUGGAGAUAAUCUUAAGUCCCCACAUGAAAAUGUUAAAGUCUAUUAUUUUGAUAUAAAUUUAGACAUUAUUUCAAUGAUUUUGGCCUAAAGAUAUGUUUAAACAAAAAUGUGUUGUACUACAAAGUUAUAGAUCUCUUCGAGCUCUACACUUUUUAUAAACUUUAUUUUCAUCCGAUUUCAUAUGUAAAAGUUAUAAUUUUAUAACUGUUGGGGGCCUUCGGCUUACGAAGGUCCUCAAAAACAGGAUUUAACAGUAUUUCUGGAGUUUAAUGUGUGAACAGGUAUCUUCGGACUCAAAUCGGUAUCACAGCAGACCAGAAUAAUACGAAGGUUGAUACAGCGCCGAAGGUGUGAGCAGGAAAGCUUCGGCAUGAUAGCAACAAAAUGAAACCGACUUAAAGAUGAAAAGGCUAUUCAGACCUCGAUAGAUUACAAUAGAAUUAUUAUCAAAUGUAAAGGGCAUGAAUGUAAUUUUGCAUAGGCUGUGACCUGUGCCUAUAAAUAGGUGAACAGUACCCCCGUACUGGGGGGGGCUGAUUAGGGCAUUCACUUUUGCGUCACGCUUGUACUUUCAUCUCCUUCAAGUUGAAGGUACAUUUGUAAUUCAAUGAUUAUUUCUGUUUAUAUAUGAUAAUAAGACAUAUUUGUUUA